rnacentral:rRNA from 1 species
UGUGGAACUCGAGCGAGCGAACGGGGAGAUUCACCGCUCUUCCGCGUCGGUCCGCGGCGGUGCGCACCGGCGGCGCGCGAUUCGUCGCGCGCCGUCGACGCGCCGUCGUAAUUACGUCAGACCGGCGGAGUGCGUGCACUUCUCCCUCAGUAUAACACCGCGACCCGUUGGAGAACAAUAAUAUUGUGCAGUCGAUCGAACACGUCGUGCGGUCGUCCGUCGUCUGUCCGUCAAAAAGGCAGGCGGCGGAGCCGCGACGUUGCGGCCGACGUCCGACGGUAACGAACGAGGUUCGCGUCCGCUCCGAUCGCGCUCGCGCGAUCGUUGCGUCCGUGACGCCGCGGCGGCGCUCCCCGCGUAGACCUCGGCGCGAAAGCGUCGCGGGCUCUGCGCGUGCGAAUAUCAGAGUGUCGCCGUUUCGAUGCGGCGUCGUCUCGGACGGGACGCGUCCCG